AUUGAACGCUGGCGGCAGGCCUAACACAUGCAAGUCGAGCGGUAGCACAGAGAGCUUGCUCUCGGGUGACGAGCGGCGGACGGGUGAGUAAUGUCUGGGAAACUGCCUGAUGGAGGGGGAUAACUACUGGAAACGGUAGCUAAUACCGCCUAACGUCGCAAGACCAAAGAGGGGGACCUUCGGGCCUCUUGACAUCAGAUGUGCCCAGAUGGGAUUAGCUAGUAGGUGGGGUAACGGCUCACCUAGGCGACGAUCCCUAGCUGGUCUGAGAGGAUGACCAGACACACUGGAACUGAGACACGGUCCAGACUCCUACGGGAGGCAGCAGUGGGGAAUAUUGGAAAAUGGGCGCAAGCCUGAUGCAGCCAUGCCGCGUGUAUGAAGAAGGCCUUCGGGUUGUAAAGUACUUUCAGCGGGGAGGAAGGCGGUGAGGUUAAUAACCUCAUCGAUUGACGUUACCCGCAGAAGAAGCACCGGCUAACUCCGUGCCAGCCGCCGCCGUAA
rnacentral:rRNA from 1 species